rnacentral:rRNA from 1 species
UACUGGAUAUGACUGCGCAUCGCAUGGUGUGUGGUGGAAAGUUUUUGUGGUGAGGGAUGGGCUCGCGGCCUAUCAGCUUGAUGGUGGGGUAGUGGCCUACCAUGGCGGUGACGGGUAGCCGGCCUGAGAGGGCGACCGGCCACACUGGGACUGAGACACGGCCCAGACUCCUACGGGAGGCAGCAGUGGGGAAUAUUGCACAAUGGGCGAAAGCCUGAUGCAGCGACGCCGCGUGAGGGAUGACGGCCUUCGGGUUGUAAACCUCUUUCAGCAGGGACGAAUUAGGACGGUACCUGCAGAAGAAGCACCGGCUAACUACGUGC